rnacentral:rRNA from 1 species
CGGGAGGCUUGCACAGUGCUGCAUGGCUGUCGUCAGCUCGUGUCGUGAGAUGUUCGGUUAAGUCCGCUAACGAGCGCAACCCUCACUGUGUGUUAUAUGUGUCACACGGGACUGCCGGUUUUAAGCCGGAGGAAGGUGGGGAUGACGUCAAGUCAGCAUGGCCUUUAUAUCCUGGGCUACACACACGCUACAAUGGUCGGUACAAUAGGUUGCCAAGCCGCGAGGCGGAGCCAAUCCAUAAAAGCCGGCCUCAGUUCAGAUUGUAGGCUGCAACUCGCCUGCAUGAAGAUGGAGUUGCUAGUAACCGCAGGUCAGCAAUACUGCGGUGAAUACGUUCCCGGGUCUU